UACGAAGGGUGCUAGCGUUGUUCGGAAUCACUGGGCGUAAAGCGCACGUAGGCGGACGUGUCAGUCAGGGGUGAAAUCCCGGAGCUCAACUUCGGAACUGCCUUUGAUACAGCACGUCUUGAGUCCGGAAGAGGUGAGUGGAAUUCCUAGUGUAGAGGUGAAAUUCGUAGAUAUUAGGAAGAACACCGGUGGCGAAGGCGGCCCACUGGUCCGAUACUGACGCUGAGGUGCGAAAGCGUGGGGAGCAAACAGG
rnacentral:rRNA from 1 species